CUGCUGCCUCCCGUAGGAGUUUGGACCGUGUCUCAGUUCCAAUGUGGGGGACCUUCCUCUCAGAACCCCUACGCAUCGUCGGCUUGGUGGGCCGUUGCCCCACCAACUACCUAAUGCGCCGCAUGCCCAUCCAUGACCGGGGUCGCCCCCUUUGACCGGCAGGGGAUGUCUCCUCCCGGCAUUAUGUUGUAUUAGGCGGGAUUUCUCCCGGUUAUCCAUCUGUCACGGCCAGGUUGCAUACGUGUUACUCACCCGUGCGCCGGUCG
rnacentral:rRNA from 1 species